ensembl:lncRNA
ACAGGGGCCCCCCGAGUUGGGCCCGGCCCCCAGGCUGGGCAGGAGGCCCUAACACUGGGGGAUUUCGGUGGGGAGCACACCCUCUCCCCACUGGGAGGGGCCUGCUGCUGCAGGGGCCCUGGGCACCGACGGGCAGGGGCUCCAGCCCCCCACCCCCACCCUGUCCCUGGGGGUCCACCGGUCAGUGGAUGGCCGCAAGAACUCUCACAGCGCCGUGUGCAGCAGCCCAAGGCCUCCCCCGAGGCUGACCCCCCCACAGGAAACCCCUGGGGAAGGUGGGAGGGGGUCCCGAGGCACCAUGGCCUUGUGGUGUCCGAGUGCCUGGCGCUCACCACAGUGCUGAAAAGCGUGGCAUCUCCUGUGGGCUCGGGGCCACUGAGCACUGCCACGCCGGCGCUGCCGGCACCGCCUCCCCCCGCAAGGUCCUCGUCUCCCAGCAAACACCGACUCCCCCUCCCCACCCCUGGCACCCCCGUGCUACUUCCUGUCCCCGGGAGCCACCCCACGGCAGCAGGUGUGUGCGCCCUGGUGUCCCGGGCAGGCUGUGGUCUGAGGGUGUUUGGGGCCCCUCUGGGUGGAAUCUCGGGGUGCAGCAGUGCCCCUCUGGGUGGAAUCUCGGGGUGCAGGGGUGCCUCGCCUCGCUUUAGGAGCUGCAGGCGGCGCCGGCUGCCGGCGCUCUGGUGUCUCCUUGUCCUCGUCCAGCUCUGGGUUCUCUGUGUUUCCCACAGCAGCCAGCCGGAUGGACCACACGGCUCCCAGGCUCAUGGGCUGGGUCCCCCGGAGUCUGUGCCCUCGGCGCGGCACCCCGGGCUCUGGAAACCACCCUCGCGCCCUGUCUGGUUCCCGGGAGCUUUCUCAGAUGCACUCACGCAGCUGUGGGUCUCGGGCAGCGACCCAAUACCUGAAGCGCGCUCCAAGCAGGGGACGGAAGCCCUGGACCUUAGUGGAGGCUUCGCUGCCGAGGGGCAGAGUCCCCUGCAGCCCCCCAAAGUCCAGCAGCACCAACCAAUUGGGGGCUGGGGGCUCGGGGGUCCCCCUGGCGCAGGUGCCUGGGGCUGGCAAAACCUCCAGCAGCGCAGGGUCUCCCGCGUCAGCACAGUGGGCAGUACCGUGUGCAGUGUCCACUGUGGGGCUGAGCUGGCAGUAGGGAGGGGGGACAGAAAGUCACGGCCUCCAUUUCCCCUCGAGCCUGACCCUCCCGGCAUCUGUGAGGGCCUCUGGUCAGCUCGGCUAGGGGCUCGGUGUGGACAUUCCUCCUGGGACCCCCCCGGACCCAUGGCCAGAUCACACACCUGGGGCAUUCCCAGCUUCCCAGGCCAUCCGUGGCCUUUGAACAGCAGGCAUGGCCACACCGCCUCUGCCCACUCCCUGUGGACUGGUCAGGGGCACUUCCGGGUGGCUCCCCAGGGCUGUGGAGGCCGGUGGUCUCCCACCUUGAAUCCCAGCCCAGGCUCCUGGGCAGAGCUGGGCCCUGCUGGGCGGGGGCAGCCCGGCCGAUUCUCAGAAGCUGCAUGGGGUGGGUGGGGGACGUCCUUUGUGUCGGGGGCCAGAGCCUCGGUCCUUCCUUCCCUGACGCGGUCCUGCCCCGGCCCCUCCCCGAGAGCAAACACUGGCCGCUAG